rnacentral:rRNA from 1 species
UCCGUAGGCGGUGCGGCAAGUCGGAAGUGAAAUCUCAGGGCUUAACCCUGAGGCUGCUUCCGAAACUGCCGUGCUCGAGUGCGAGAGAGGCGAGUGGAAUUGCAGGUGUAGCGGUGAAAUGCGUAGAUAUCUGCAGGAACAUCCGAGGCGAAAGCGGCUCGCUGGAUCGCAACUGACGCUGAGGGACGAAAGCUAGGGGAGCAAACAGGAUUAGAUACCCUGGUAGUCCUAGCCCUAAACGAUCAGGACUGGGCGUGGGCCUCGUACGGGGCUCGUGCCGCAGCUAACGCGUUAAGUCCUGCGCCUGGGGAGUACGGUCGCAAGGCUAGAA